CGCACAUUGCGCCCAUUAGUAUUCUAACGGGCAUGCCUGUUCGAGCGUCAUUUCAACCCUCAAGCACUGCUUGGUGUUGGGGCCCUAGUGUCUAGGCCCUGUAAUUUAGUGGCGGAUCUGCUGUAUCCUGAGCGUAGUAAUAUUUCGUUCCGGGCUUAUAGUAGCUCCUGCCGUGAAACCCACUUUGUAAAGUUGACCUCGGAUCAGGUAGGAAUACCCGCUGAACUUAA
rnacentral:misc_RNA from 1 species